AUGCCCGAGGAGAAGCCCAAGGAGGGUGUGAAGACGGAGRAUGACCAUAUCAACCUGAAGGUGGUGGGGCAGGAUGGCUCAGUGGUGCAGUUCAAGAUCAAGAGGCACACCCCAUUGAGCAAGCUGAUGAAGGCCUACUUCAAGAGGCAGGGCUUGUCAAUGAGACAGAUUAGAUUCAGGUUUGAUGGGCAACCAAUUAAUGAAACAGACACUCCAGCCCARCUGGAGRUGGAGGUUGAGGACACCAUCGACGUGUUCCAGCAGCAGACGGGAGGCAUGGCCUCCAGAGGGACCACCCCACACCCCGCCAUCCUCCUUGCAUUUGUUAUUGA